rnacentral:rRNA from 1 species
CAAUAGCGUAUAUUUAAGUUGUUGCAGUUAAAAAGCUCGUAGUCGGAUUUUGGCUGAGAACGAUCGGUCCGCCGUUAGGUGUGCACUGAUUGGUCUCAGCUUCCUGGUGAGGAGGUGUGCUUCACGGCCACUUAGUCACCGUGGUUACUUUGAAAAAAUUAGAGUGUUCAAAGCGGGCUUACGCUUGAAUAUAUUAGCAUGGAAUAACACCAUAGGACUCCUGUCCUAUUUCGUUGGUCACGGGACGGGAGUAAUGAUUAAGAGGAACAGUUGGGGGCAUUCGUAUUUCAUCGUCAGAGGUGAAAUUCUUGGAUUUAUGAAAGACGAACUUCUGCGAAAGCAUUUGCCAAGGAUGUUUUCAUUGA